rnacentral:rRNA from 1 species
GAUGAACGCUGGCGGCGUGCCUAAUACAUGCAAGUCGAGCGAACAGACGAGGAGCUUGCUCCUCUGACGUUAGCGGCGGACGGGUGAGUAACACGUGGAUAACCUACCUAUAAGACUGGGAUAACUUCGGGAAACCGGAGCUAAUACCGGAUAAUAUAUUGAACCGCAUGGUUCAAUAGUGAAAGACGGUUUUGCUGUCACUUAUAGAUGGAUCCGCGCCGCAUUAGCUAGUUGGUAAGGUAACGGCUUACCAAGGCAACGAUGCGUAGCCGACCUGAGAGGGUGGUCGGCCACACUGGAACUGCGACACGGUCCGGACAACUACGGGAGGAAGCAGUAGGGAUUCUUCCGCAAUGGGCGAGAGCUUGACGGAGCAACGACGCGUGAGUGAUGAAGGUCUUCGGAUCGUAAAACUCUGUUAUUAGGGAAAAACAAAUGUGUACGUAACUAUGCACGUCUGGACGGUACCUAAUCAGAAAGCCACGGCUAACUACGUG